rnacentral:rRNA from 1 species
ACGGGAGGCAGCAGUGGGGAAUAUUGCACAAUGGGGGAAACCCUGAUGCAGCGACGCCGCGUGAGUGAAGAAGUAUUUCGGUAUGUAAAGCACUAUCAGCAGGAAAGAAAAUGACGGUACCUGACUAAGAAGCCCCGGCUAACUACGUGCCAGCAGCCGCGGUAAUACGUAGGGGGCAAGCGUUAUCCAGAUUUACUGGGUGUAAAGGGAGCGUAGACGGCUUUGCAAGUCUGAAGUGAAAGCCCGGGGCCCAACCCCGGAACUGCUUUGGAAACUGUUAAGCUGGAGUGCAGGAGAGGUAAGUGGAAUUCCUAGUGUAGCGGUGAAAUGCGUAGAUAUUAGGAGGAACACCAGUGGCGAAGGCGGCUUACUGGACUGUAACUGACGUUGAGGCUCGAAGGCGUGGGGAGCAAACAGGAUUAGAUACCCUGGUA